GGGGGUAUGGCGAAAUUGGUAGACGCUGCGGACUUAAAAUCCGUUGGCUUUAAAGACCGUGAGGGUUCAAGUCCCUCUACCCCCA
rnacentral:ncRNA from 14 species